AUACGUAGGUGGCAAGCGUUAUCCGGAAUUACUGGGCGUAAAGGGCGCGUAGGCGGGGGUGCAAGUCAGAUGUGAAAUCUAUGGGCUUAACUCAUAAACUGCAUUUGAAACUGUAUCUCUUGAGUGCUGGAGAGGGAGACGGAAUUCCUUGUGUAGCGGUGAAAUGCGUAGAUAUAAGGAAGAACACCAGUGGCGAAGGCGGUCUCCGGGCCGGUAACUGACGCUGAGGCGCGAAGGCGGGGGGAGAAAACAGGAUUAGAUACCCUGGUAUUCCACGUGGUAAACGAUGAAUACUAGGUGUUGGGGGACUGAGCCCCUCAGUGCCGCAGUUAACGCAAUAAGUAUUCCGCCUGGGGAGUACGAUCGCAAGAUUGAAACUCAAAGGAAUUGACGGGG
rnacentral:rRNA from 1 species